rnacentral:rRNA from 1 species
AUGAACGCUGGCGGCGUGCCUAAUACAUGCAAGUCGAGCGAACGGACGAGAAGCUUGCUUCUCUGAUGUUAGCGGCGGACGGGUGAGUAACACGUGGAUAACCUACCUAUAAGACUGGGAUAACUUCGGGAAACCGGAGCUAAUACCGGAUAAUAUUUUGAACCGCAUGGUUCAAAAGUGAAAGACGGUCUUGCUGUCACUUAUAGAUGGAUCCGCGCUGCAUUAGCUAGUUGGUAAGGUAACGGCUUACCAAGGCAACGAUGCAUAGCCGACCUGAGAGGGUGAUCGGCCACACUGGAACUGAGACACGGUCCAGACUCCUACGGGAGGCAGCAGUAGGGAAUCUUCCGCAAUGGGCGAAAGCCUGACGGAGCAACGCCGCGUGAGUGAUGAAGGUCUUCGGAUCGUAAAACUCUGUUAUUAGGGAAGAACAUAUGUGUAAGAAACUGUGCACAUCUUGACGGUACCUAAUCAGAAAGCCACGGCUAACUACGUG